CCUACGGGGGGCAGCAGUGAGGAAUAUUGGUCAAUGGACGAGAGUCUGAACCAGCCAAGUAGCGUGAAGGAUGACUGCCCUAUGGGUUGUAAACUUCUUUUAUAUGGGAAUAAAACGUUCCACGUGUGGGAUUUUGUAUGUACCAUAUGAAUAAGGAUCGGCUAACUCCGUGCCAGCAGCCGCGGUAAUACGGAGGAUCCGAGCGUUAUCCGGAUUUAUUGGGUUUAAAGGGAGCGUAGGUGGAUUGUUAAGUCAGUUGUGAAAGUUUGCGGCUCAACCGUAAAAUUGCAGUUGAAACUGGCAGUCUUGAGUACAGUAGAGGUGGGCGGAAUUCGUGGUGUAGCGGUGAAAUGCUUAGAUAUCACGAAGAACUCCGAUUGCGAAGGCAGUUCACUGGACUGCAACUGACACUGAGGCUCGAAAGUGUGGGUAUCAAACAGGAAUAGAUACCCCGGUAGUC
rnacentral:rRNA from 1 species